UUAGAAAGCAUAUUGUAUACCUCCUGCUUACCUCAAUUUAAAAUUGACACCAUUUGAUAUGAAGAUCUGACUUCCAUGAUCAUCAUACUAAAAUUUUACCUCGAUCCGAUAUCAUUUCACCAUUGAUCUACACCUUUACACUAAAUGAUUUCUCACGUCCCUCAUUUCUUUUCUCUCUGUCCGUGUCUCUUUUUCUUUCUU
rnacentral:lncRNA from 1 species